GAGAUAGUCAUAAUGAAAUAACUGAUGAAUGGCUGCAAUCUCCCCUACCCCUCCACCCACACCCACCCCUCCCACACCCUGCUUAUUGGUUCUGUGUCUUUAGAUAAAUCAAAUAAGGCAAUAAGACGAGCCAUGAGAUUUUGGAUUUAUAUGUAUAUCAACAUCAGUGAAGGAUCCGGGGAUGUGGCUCAGGGGUUAAGGACACUUGCUGCUCUCAUAGAAGACUGGAGUUUGGUUUCCAGCACCCACAUCAGGUGGCUCCUACCGUCUGUAACUCCAGAUCAAGGGGAUCUGAUGCCCUCUUCUGGUCCCUGAAGAGCAGAACCCUGGGACUGCCCUCCAGAGAGCUGGAGGGAGGCGCACUGUUCUCGGAUGCUCUGAAGGACGUUUAAUUCUUCAAUCAGAUCCUGAAGGGGCAAAGACAUCCACGACAAGCUAAGGAAAAUGACUGCUGAAGGUUCUACCGAGAACAACUCACAUCUCAUUCUUCGUGGACUGAGAACAUGAGACACAGAUUCAUCGAUGGCGCCAGGGAAUUUACCGAGAGCUAACAGUAGAACGUGACCUUUCACCUGGAUGAACGUGUGCCAAGUAAGAAGAUAAUUGAAGUAUGACAACAGAGAUGCAAAGGCUGCGUGGUUUAAGUACUCUUCUUACCUGCAACAAGAGGUUGCAUAGAGUGUUUCCAUGAUUUGUAGAAUUCCAGGUCUCUCCACCACCUUGUCUUUCUCAGCUUGCUUUUUCUCUCCUUCCCUCGAUUAUACACAACAUCCUGACCUUGUUAUAGCUUGUGCAGCACGUGGUUGGGGACAUGUGGCCACUUUCUUUGGUGAAUGCUUUAGUUUUCAUGGGGCUAGAGCAGAAACGAGUGGUGGUGAAAACUGUCAAGUUAGCGAACGUAGCGACAAGGGAGUUUUUACUUCUCUGGAGUUCCUAGUUAGUCCUGAAAACACUGCCAUUAAAGUCAUCAUUAAAC
rnacentral:lncRNA from 1 species